UACGGGGGGGGGCAAGCGUUGUUCGGAAUUACUGGGCGUAAAGGGCGCGUAGGCGGCUUGGCAAGUGGAUGGUGAAAUCCCUCGGCUUAACCGAGGAACUGCCAUCCAGACUGCUUUGCUUGAGGCCGGGAGAGGUGAGUGGAAUUCCCAGUGUAGCGGUGAAAUGCGUAGAUAUUGGGAGGAACACCAGUGGCGAAGGCGGCUCACUGGACCGGUUCUGACGCUGAGGCGCGAAAGCGUGGGGAGCAAACGGG
rnacentral:rRNA from 1 species